AACCGCCGUAUGCCAAACGGCAUGUACGGUGUGAGAGGGGAGAGAAAAUCUCCCUACUCGAU
rnacentral:misc_RNA from 1 species